UGGGGAAUUUUGGACAAUUGGGCGAAAGCCUGAUCCAGCAAUGCCGCGUGUGUGAAGAAGGCCUUCGGGUUGUAAAGCACUUUUGUCCGGAAAGAAAUCCUUGGCUCUAAUACAGUCGGGGGAUGACGGUACCGGAAGAAUAAGCACCGGCUAACUACGUGCCAGCAGCCGCGGUAAUACGUAGGGUGCAAGCGUUAAUCGGAAUUACUGGGCGUAAAGCGUGCGCAGGCGGUUUGCUAAGACCGAUGUGAAAUCCCCGGGCUCAACCUGGGAACUGCAUUGGUGACUGGCAGGCUAGAGUAUGGCAGAGGGGGGUUAGAAUUCCACGUGUAGCAGUGAAAUGCGUAGAGAUGUGGAGGAAUACCGAUGGCGAAGGCAGCCCCCUGGGCCAAUACUGACGCUCAUGCACGAAAGCGUGGGGAGCAAACAGGAUUAGAUACCCUGGUAGUCCACGCCCUAAACGAUGUCAACUAGUUGUUGGGGAUUCAUUUCCUUAGUAACGUAGCUAACGCGUGAAGUUGACCGCCUGGGGAGUACGGUCGCAAGAUU
rnacentral:rRNA from 1 species